GAUGAACGUUGGCGGCGUGCCUAAUACAUGCAAGUCGAACGAAGACUGUAGUAAUACUGUCUUAGUGGCGAACGGGUGAGUAACGCGUGGGUGACCUGCCCCGAAGUGUGGGAUAACAGUCCGAAAGGAUUGCUAAUACUGCAUAAUAUCCAAGAGAUUAGAUGCUUUUGGAUUAAAGGAGUAAUUCGCUUCGGGAGGGGCCCGCGUCCCAUCAGCUAGUUGGUAAGGUAAUGGCUUACCAAGGCGAUGACGGGUAGGGGGCCUGAGAGGGUGGCCCCCCACAAUGGAACUGAAACACGGUCCAUACACCUACGGGUGGCAGCAGUAGGGAAUAUUAGUAAUGGGCGAAAGCCUGAACUAGCAACGCCGCGUGUGCGAAGAAGGCCUUCGGGUCGUAAAGCACUUUUUGAGAGGAUGAGGAAGGACGGUACUCUCAGAAUAAGUCUCGGCUAACUACGUG
rnacentral:rRNA from 1 species